UCCAGACUCCUACGGGAGGCAGCAGUGGGGGAUAUUGCACAAUGGGGGAACCCCUGAUGCAGCGACGCCGCGUGGGCGAAGAAGUAUUUCGGUAUGUAAAGCCCUAUCAGCAGGGAAGAAGAAAUGACGGUACCUGAGUAAGAAGCACCGGCUAAAUACGUGCCAGCAGCCGCGGUAAUACGUAUGGUGCAAGCGUUAUCCGGAUUUACUGGGUGUAAAGGGAGCGCAGGCGGGAAGCCAAGUCAGCUGUGAAAACUACGGGCUUAACUUGUAGACUGCAGUUGAAACUGGUUUUCUUGAGUGAAGUAGAGGUUGGCGGAAUUCCGAGUGUAGCGGUGAAAUGCGUAGAUAUUCGGAGGAACACCGGUGGCGAAGGCGGCCAACUGGGCUUUAACUGACGCUGAGGCUCGAAAGUGUGGGGAGCAAACAGGAUUAGAUACCCGGGUAGC
rnacentral:rRNA from 1 species